rnacentral:rRNA from 1 species
GUCUACGGCCACACCACCCUUAACGCACCUCAUCUCGUCUGAUCUCGGACGCGCUAAGCAGGGUCGGGCCCAGCUAGUACUUGGAUGGGAGAAAUCCGGGUAUGUGACA